CGCGUAGACGGUUUUGUAAGUCAGAUGUGAAAUCCCCGGGCCUCAACCUGGGGAACUGCAUUUGAAACUGCAUGGCUAGAGUAUGGUAGGAGGGAAGUGGAAUUUCCGGUGUAGCGGUGAAAUGCGUAGAUAUCGGAAGGAACACCAGUGGCGAAAGCGACUUCCUCGGACCAAUACUGACGUUCAUGUGCGAAAGCGUGGGGAGCGAAACAGGAUUAGAUACCCUGGUACGUCCACGCCAUAAACGAUGACAACUAGAUGUUGGGAGGGUCUGCCUCCCGGUGUCGCAGCUAACGCGUUAAGUUGUCCGCCUGGGGAGUACGGCCGCAAGGUUGAA
rnacentral:rRNA from 1 species